rnacentral:rRNA from 1 species
GGACCUCGAGUGCCAGGUUACAAAUCUGGCUGUCGUGAUGCCUAAAAAGCAUUGCAUAGCAAGGGCCGGGCAAGACCGGUGCCAGCCGCCGCGGUAACACCGGCGGCUCGAGUGGUAACCGUUAUUAUUGGGUCUAAAGGGUCUGUAGCCGGCCGGAUAAGUCUCUUGAGAAAUCCAGCAGCUCAACUGUUGGGCUUUCAGGAGAUACUGUUCGGCUCGAGGCCGGGAGAGGUGAGAGGUACUUCAGGGGUAGGGGUGAAAUCUUGUAAUCCUUGAAGGACCACCAGUGGCGAAGGCGUCUCACCAGAACGGACCUGACGGCAAGGGACGAAAGCUAGGGGCACGAACCGGAUUAGAUACCCGGGUAGUCCUAGCCGUAAACGAUACUCGCUAGGUGUCGGCCACGGUGCGACCGUUGUCGGUGCCGUAGGGAAGCCGUGAAGCGAGC